rnacentral:lncRNA from 1 species
AAGGUGAAAUAACUUUAUUGAAACAUAUGUCAUUACAGUUAAAAGAAAUAAAGAUAUGUGUUUAAAUCACAUGGUUUUAACCAUCACGACAGAUAUCAGAGGGAGGGGUGGGUAACACUACAAAGCAGGAUCAAUGAGUUUAGCCGGCUAACUUUCAGAAACAAACCAAUAAUUAAACCACAGAUAUGUUUAUAGGUUUAAUAAUUAGAAAUCUGAAAACCUUCGAUGUUGUGAAGGGCUGUCGAGUCAAUCAGUCCAUCUUUCUAAAAAUGAAGAGAUGUAUCAGAAUAUAAUAGGCCAGUUUGCUCUGUGGUAGUAUAUUACCCUCCCUGCAGGUCCUCACUACAAAGUCUUCAUACAACAGUCAUAUUCAAUAUCCUGUUUGUGUUUACUAGUAUACGUAGGAUAGUACUGACAAACAUAUAUUCAGACACUCAGUACAAACGCAAAGGAAUUUAUAUGUGUUCUAGACACAAGCAGAGCAUCAGAACAGACUGCUGUUACCGUGUUGUCCUGACAGACUGCUGUUACCGUGUUGUCCUGACAGACUGCUGUUACCGUGUUGUCCUGACAGACUGCUGUUACCGUGUUGUCCUUUACAGACUGCUGUUACCGUGUUGUCCUGACAGACUGCUGUUACCGUGUUGUCCUUUACAGACUGCUGUCCUAGUGGAAUGUGUGGUGUGAGUGGCAUCAGUGUUGCUCUGCUCUCUGGUCCUCUCAUGUCUCCCUGAUGGCAUUUUUUCCUCUGUCUCUCUCCAGUCUCUCUCCAGUCUCUCUCCAGUCUCUCUCCAGUCUCUCUCCAGUCUCUCUCCAGUCUUUCUCCAGUCUCUCUCCAGUCUUUCUCCAGUCUCUCUCCAGUCUUUCUCCAGUCUCUCUCCAGUCUUUCUCCAGUCUCUCUCCAGCUGCUGUCUCUCUCCAGUCUCUCUCCAGUCUCUCUCCAGUCUCUCUCCAGUCUCUCUCCAGUCUCUCUCCUGUCUCUCUCCAGUCUCUCUCCAGUCUCUCUCCUGUCUCUCUCCAGUCUCUCUCCAGUCUCUCUCCAGUCUCUCUCCAGUCUUUCUCCAGUCUCUCUCCAGCUGCUGUCUCUCUCCAGUCUCUCUCCAGUCUCUCUCCAGUCUCUCUCCAGUCUCUCUCCAGUCUCUCUCCAGCUGCUGUCUCUCUCCAGUCUCUCUCCAGUCUCUCUCCAGUCUCUCUCCAGUCUCUCUCCAGUCUUUCUCCAGUCUCUCUCCAGUCUCUCUCCAGUCUCUCUCCAGUCUUUCUCCAGCUGCUGUCUCUCUCCAGUCUCUCUCCAGUCUCUCUCCAGUCUCUCUCCAGUCUCUCUCCAGUCUCUCUCCAGCUGCUGUCUCUCUCCAGUCUCUCUCCAGUCUCUCUCCAGUCUCUCUCCAGUCUCUCUCCAGUCUCUCUCCAGUCUCUCUCCACUGCUGUCUCUCUCCAGUCUCUCUCCAGUCUCUCUCCAGUCUCUCUCCACUCUCUCCAGUCUCUCUCCAGUCUCUCUCCACUCUCUCCAGUCUCUCUCCAGUCUCUCUCCAGUCUCUCUCCACUCUCUCCAGUCUCUCUCCAGUCUCUCUCCAGUCUCUCUG